rnacentral:rRNA from 1 species
CGUAGGAGGUUGCUUUACACAUGCAAGUCGAACGAAAGUUUUUUAAACUUUAGUGGCGGACGGGUGAGUAACACGUGAGAAUUUACCUUUAGGAGGGGAAUAACAAUUGGAAACAAUUGCUAAUGCCGCAUAUUAUUAAAAAAAUAAAAGAAGAAAUUCGCCUAAAGAAAAGCUUGCGUCUGAUUAGCUAGUUGGUGGGGUAAAGGCCUACCAAGGCGACGAUCAGUAGCUGGUUUGAGAGGAUGACCAGUCACACUGGAACUGAGACACGGUCCAGACUCCUGCGGGAGGCAGCAGUGGGGAAUUUUCUGCAAUGGGCGAAAGCCUGACAGAGCAAUACCGCGUGAGGGAAUUAGAAAGCCCAUAGGGUUGUAAACCUCUUUUGUUAAGGAAGAAGUUCUGACGUUACUUAACGAAUAAGCAUCGGCUAACUCCGUGCCAGCAGCCGCGGUAAUACGGAGGAUGCAAGUGUUAUCCGGAAUCACUGGGCGUAAAGCGUCUGUAGGUGGUUUACUAAGUCUAUUAUUAAAUCUUGAAGCUCAACUUCAAAAAUGUACUAGAAACUAGUAAACUUGAGGAUAGUAGGGGUAAAGGGAAUUUCCAGUGGAGCGGUGAAAUGCGUAGAGAUUGGAAGGACCACCGAAGGCGAAGGCACUUUACUGGGCUAUUUCUGACACUAAGAGACGAAAGCUAGGGGAGCAAAUGGGAUUAGAUACCCCAGUAGUCCUAGCCGUAAACGAUGGAUACUAGAUGUUGUGUGUUUCGAUCCAUGCAGUGUCGUAGCUAACGCGUUAAGUAUCCCGCCUGGAAUUAUGCUCGCAAGAGUGAAACUCAAUGAAUUGACGGAA